GGUCGCAUAGCUCAGUUGGGAGAGCACCUGCCUUACAAGCAGGGGGUCACUGGUUCGAGCCCAGUUGCGACCACCA
rnacentral:tRNA from 1 species